rnacentral:rRNA from 1 species
AUUGAACGCUGGCGGCAGGCUUAACACAUGCAAGUCGAGCGGAGUGAUGGUGCUUGCACUAUCACUUAGCGGCGGACGGGUGAGUAAUGCUUAGGAAUCUGCUUAUUAGUGGGGGACAACAUCUCGAAAGGUAUGCUAAUACCGCAUACGUCCUACGGGAGAAAGCAGGGGAUCACUUGUGACCUUGCGCUAAUAGAUGAGCCUAAGUCGGAUUAGCUAGUUGGUGGGGUAAAGGCCUACCAAGGCGACGAUCUGUAGCGGGUCUGAGAGGAUGAUCCGCCACACUGGGACUGAGACACGGCCCAGACUCCUACGGGAGGCAGCAGUGGGGAAUAUUGGACAAUGGGGGGAACCCUGAUCCAGCCAUGCCGCGUGUGUGAAGAAGGCCUUAUGGUUGUAAAGCACUUUAAGCGAGGAGGAGGCUCUUUUGGUUAAUACCCAAGAUGAGUGGACGUUACUCGCAGAAUAAGCACCGGCUAACUCUGUGCCAGCCGCCGCCGUAA